GACGAACGCUGGCGGCGUGCCUAAUACAUGCAAGUUGAGCGCUGAAGGUUGGUACUUGUACCAACUGGAUGAGCAGCGAACGGGUGAGUAACGCGUGGGGAAUCUGCCUUUGAGCGGGGGACAACAUUUGGAAACGAAUGCUAAUACCGCAUAAAAACUUUAAACACAAGUUUUAAGUUUGAAAGAUGCAAUUGCAUCACUCAAAGAUGAUCCCGCGUUGUAUUAGCUAGUUGGUGAGGUAAAGGCUCACCAAGGCGAUGAUACAUAGCCGACCUGAGAGGGUGAUCGGCCAAAUUGGGACUGCGACACGGCCCAAACUCCUACGGGAGGCAGCAGUAGGGAAUCUUCGGCAAUGGACGAAAGUCUGACCGAGCAACGCCGCGUGAGUGAAGAAGGUUUUCGGAUCGUAAAACUCUGUUGGUAGAGAAGAACGUUGGUGAGAGUGGAAAGCUCAUCAAGUGACGGUAACUACCCAGAAAGGGACGGCUAACUACAUG
rnacentral:rRNA from 1 species